rnacentral:misc_RNA from 1 species
UUAAUUCAAAAUGAACUGAAUCAAAAUGAAACCAGAACCAAAACCAUUCAGGAAUCAAAAAUAAAAAUCAAAUUAGAAUCAUAAACGUCCCCAAACUGCCUCAUCUGGUCCAAUUUAGGGCCUAGGGAGCCAUGGUUAGGAUUCAAACUUGUGGUUGGGGCUAACUAGGUGGCAAAUAGAUCAGGUUAGCCAGGUUCAGGUUUUGGAUUGCAAGUUGAUUCUAGUAAUCCAUCGAGUUGCUACAGUGAAAAGAUUCCAAGUCAAUUUGUGUAUUACAAGUCAUUUCAUAUCAAAAUUUUAAUUUUUUCAAACAAACUUAUUAAUUACUACUCAUACCCAAAUUUGAGUUAGUUGGUUCAACCUAAAUUCGUUAGUUUCAAUUCGACUCAUUUAAGUCUUUAGAUUAAUUCUCAAUUUCUUUGUCAAUUGAUUUUUAUAAUUUUUAGUUUUGUAGAAUUAAAUUGAAUUGUAUAUCGCCUUAGGUCUUAUGAAUUUAAAUGAAGUCAAUAUUUAACGUCUCUAUGCUCAACCCAUUAAUUUGAUAGAUUAAAAGCCAUAAACAUUUUUAAAGUUUUUGAGAAUUAUUUAGCAAAAAAUUCUUGUCUGCACUAAGAGUCCUAUCAUGAAAACACCCUUCAGAUUGAAAUGCAUCACUAGUCCCCAUGUUUGUAAUAUUUAGAUAUUCAUAACUAUAAUUCUUACUGGCAUACUUAGAUAAAAUUAAUAUUAUCAUGAAAAGAAUUAAGCAAAGUUUUCAAUGGCUAUGCAGAUACCAGGUGAUAUGGUGGUGAA